rnacentral:tRNA from 1 species
AUUAUUUUGGCAGAUUAGUGCAUUAAAUUUAGAAUUUAAGAAAAACAUGAUUUAUAUAAUA